UGGCGGCCGUAGCGCGGUGGUCCCACCUGACCCCAUGCCGAACUCAGAAGUGAAACGCCGUAGCGCCGAUGGUAGUGUGGGGUCUCCCCAUGCGAGAGUAGGGAACUGCUAGGCA
rnacentral:rRNA from 5 species